UACGGGGGGGGGCAAGCGUUGUUCGGAAUUACUGGGCGUAAAGGGCUCGUAGGUGGCCAACUAAGUCAGACGUGAAAUCCCCAGGCUCAACUUGGGAACUGCGUCUGAUACUGGAUGGCUUGAAUUCGGGAGAGGGAUGCAGAAUUCCAGGUGUAGCGGUGAAAUGCGUAGAUAUCUGGAGGAACACCGGUGGCGAAGGCGGCAUCCUGGACCAACACUGACACUGAUGAGCGAAAGCCAGGGGAGCAAACGGG
rnacentral:rRNA from 1 species